UCUCUGAUGGCUCAAUGGUAAAGAAUCUGCCUGCCAAUGCAGGAUACACAGGUUUGACCCCUGAUCAGGGAA
rnacentral:tRNA from 1 species